AGCGAACGCUGGCGGCGGGCCUAACACAUGCAAGUCGAACGAACCUUUCGGGGUUAGUGGCGGACGGGUGAGUAACACGUGGGAACGUGCCUUUAGGUUCGGAAUAACUCAGGGAAACUUGUGCUAAUACCGAAUGUGCCCUUCGGGGGAAAGAUUAAUCGCCUUUAGAGCGGCCCGCGUCUGUUUAGCUAGUUGGUUGGGGUAAUGGCUCACCAAGGCGACGAUCAGUAGCUGGUCUGAGAGGAUGAUCAGACACAUUGGGACUGAGACACGGCCCAAACUCCUACGGGAGGCAGCAGUGGGGAAUCUUGCGCAAUGGGCGAAAGCCUGACGCAGCCAUGCCGCGUGAAUGAUGAAGGUCUUAGGAUUGUAAAAUUCUUUCACCGGGGACGAUAAUGACGGUACCCGGAGAAGAAGCCCCGGCUAACUUCGUG
rnacentral:rRNA from 1 species